AGCAUGUGGUUUAACUCGAAGCAACGCGAGGAACCUUACCAGGUCUUGACAUCCCGAUGCUAUUUCUAGAGAUAGAAAGUUACUUCGGUACAUCGGUGACAGGUGGUGCAUGGUUGUCGUCAGCUCGUGUCGUGAGAUGUUGGGUUAAGUCCCGCAACGAGCGCAACCCCUAUUGUUAGUUGCCAUCAUUCAGUUGGGCACUCUAGCGAGACUGCCGGUAAUAAACCGGAGGAAGUGGGGAUGACGUCAAAUCAUCAUGCCCCUUAUGACCUGGGCUACACACGUGCUACAAUGGUUGGUACAACGAGUUGCGAGUCGGUGACGGCGAGCUAAUCUCUUAAAGCCAAUCUCAGUUCGGAUUGUAGGCUGCAACUCGCCUACAUGAAGUCGGAAUCGCUAGUAAUCGCGGAUCAGCACGCCGCGGUGAAUACGUUCCCGGGCCUU
rnacentral:rRNA from 1 species